CAAUAGCGUAUAUUUAAGUUGUUGCAGUUAAAAAGCUCGUAGUUGGAUUUCGGGUGGGACGCAGCGGUCUCGCAUUGCGUUUGUACUGCUGCAGCCCUCCUUCUUGCCGGGGGCGGCCUCUCGGACUUCACUGUCUGGGGGUCAGAAUCGGCGAUGUUACUUUGAGUAAAUUAGAGUGUUCAAAGCAAGCUUACGCUCUGAAUAUAAUAGCAUGGGAUAACACGACAGGACUCUGGCCUAUCGUGUUGGUCUAUAGGACCAGAGUAAUGAUUAAGAGGGACAGUCGGGGGCAUUCGUAUUCCGUUGUCAGAGGUGAAAUUCUUGGAUUUACAGAAGACGAACAUCUGCGAAAGCAUUUGCCAAGGAUGUUUUCAUUGA
rnacentral:rRNA from 1 species